AUUGAACGCUGGCGGCAUGCUUUACACAUGCAAGUCGAACGGCAGCACGGGUGCUUGCACCUGGUGGCGAGUGGCGGACGGGUGAGUAAUGCAUCGGAACGUGUCCUGAAGUGGGGGAUAACGCAUCGAAAGAUGUGCUAAUACCGCAUAUUCUCUGAGGAGGAAAGUAGGGGAUCGAAAGACCUUAUGCUUUUGGAGCGGCUGAUGUCUGAUUAGCUAGUUGGUAAGGUAAUGGCUUACCAAGGCGACGAUCAGUAGUUGGUCUGAGAGGACGACCAGCCACACUGGGACUGAGACACGGCCCAGACUCCUACGGGAGGCAGCAGUGGGGAAUUUUGGACAAUGGGCGCAAGCCUGAUCCAGCAAUGCCGCGUGAGUGAAGAAGGCCU
rnacentral:rRNA from 1 species